GGCGCGGUAGCAAAGUGGCCAUGCAACGGAUUGCAAAUCCGUCUACACCGGUUCAACUCCGGUCCGCGCCUCCA
rnacentral:tRNA from 1 species